rnacentral:rRNA from 1 species
AAGACCUUGCGCUUUUGGAGCGGCCGAUGUCUGAUUAGCUUGUUGGUAAGGUAAAAGCUUACCAAGGCUUCGAUCAGUAGCUGGUCUGAGAGGACGGCCAGCCACACUGGGACUGAGACACGGCCCAGACUCCUACGGGAGGCAGCAGUGGGGAAUUUUGGACAAUGGGGGCAACCCUGAUCCAGCCAUGCCGCGUGAGUGAAGAAGGCCUUCGGGUUGUAAAGCUCUUUCAGCCGGAACGGAACGGUUACGGUUAAUACCCGUGACUACUGACGGUACCGGAAGAAGAAGCACCGGCUAACUACGUGCCAGCAGCCGCGGUAAUACGUAGGGUGCGAGCGUUAAUCGGAAUUACUGGGCGUAAAGCGUGCGCAGGUGGUUUUGUAAGUCAGAUGUGAAAGCCCCGGGCUCAACCUGGGAACU